UACGAAGGGUGCAAGCGUUUAAUCGGAAUUACUGGGCGUAAAGCGUGCGUAGGCGGUUUGUUAAGUCUGCUGUGAAAUCCCCGGGCUCAACCUGGGGAAUGGCAGUGGAUACUGGCAAGCUAGAGUGUGUCAGAGGAUGGUGGAAUUCCCGGUGUAGCGGUGAAAAUGCGUAGAGAUCGGGAGGAACAUCAGUGGCGAAGGCGGCCAUCUGGGACAACACUGAC
rnacentral:rRNA from 1 species